rnacentral:rRNA from 1 species
AACGAACGCUGGCGGCAGGCCUAACACAUGCCAGUCGAGCGGACCCUUCGGGGUUAGCGGCGGACGGGUGAGUAACGCGUGGGAAUAUGCCCUUCUCUACGGAAUAGUCCUGGGAAACUGGGGGUAAUACCGUAUACGCCCUUUGGGGGAAAGAUUUAUCGGGGAAGGAUUAGCCCGCGUUGGAUUAGGUAGUUGGUGGGGUAAUGGCCUACCAAGCCGACGAUCUAUAGCUGGUUUGAGAGGAUGAUCAGCCACACUGGGACUGAGACACGGCCCAGACUCCUACGGGAGGCAGCAGUGGGGAAUCUUAGACAAUGGGGGCAACCCUGAUCUAGCCAUGCCGCGUGAGUGAUGAAGGCCUUAGGGUUGUAAAGCUCUUUCAGCUGGGAAGAUAAUGACGGUACCAGCAGAAGAAGCCCCGGCUAACUCCGUG